rnacentral:rRNA from 1 species
UGAUCAGCCAUGCCGCGUGAGUGAAGAAGGCCUUCGGGUUGUAAAGCUCUUUCGGCCGGGAAGAAAUCGCAUCUCCUAAUACGGGGUGUGGAUGACGGUACCGGAAUAAGAAGCACCGGCUAACUACGUGCCAGCAGCCGCGGUAAUACGUAGGGUGCGAGCGUUAAUCGGAAUUACUGGGCGUAAAGCGUGCGCAGGCGGUUUCGUAAGACAGAGGUGAAAUCCCCGGGCUCAACCUGGGAACUGCCUUUGUGACUGCGAGGCUAGAGUAUGGCAGAGGGGGGUGGAAUUCCACGUGUAGCAGUGAAAUGCGUAGAGAUGUGGAGGAACACCGAUGGCGAAGGCAGCCCCCUGGGCCAAUACUGACGCUCAUGCACGAAAGCGUGGGGAGCAAACAGGAUUAGAUACCCUGGUAGUCCACGCCCUAAACGAUGUCAACUAGGUGUUGGGAGGGUUAAACCUUUUAGUACCGUAGCUAACGCGUGAAGUUGACCGCCUGGGGA